rnacentral:rRNA from 1 species
CAUUUAGUUGGGCACUCUAAUGAGACUGCCGGUGACAAACCGGAGGAAGUGGGGAUGACGUCAAGUCCUCAUGGCCCUUAUGGGUAGGGCUUCACACGUCAUACAAUGGUCGGUACAGAGGGUUGCCAAGCCGCGAGGUGGAGCCAAUCCCUUAAAGCCGAUCGUAGUCCGGAUCGUAGUCUGCAACUCGACUACGUGAAGUCGGAAUCGCUAGUAAUCGCAGAUCAGCAUGCUGCGGUGAAUACGGUUCCCGGGUCUU